rnacentral:rRNA from 1 species
GAUGAACGCUGGCGGCGUGCCUAAUACGUGCAAGUCGAGCGAACGGACGAGAAGCUUGCUUCUCUGAUGUUAGCGGCGGACGGGUGAGUAACACGUGGAUAACCUACCUAUAAGACUGGGAUAACUUCGGGAAACCGUAGCUAAUACCGGAUAAUAUUUUGAACCGCAUGGUUCAAAAGUGAAAGACGGUCUUGCUGUCACUUAUAGAUGGAUCCGCGCUGCAUUAGCUAGUUGGUAAGGUAACGGCUUACCAAGGCAACGAUGCAUAGCCGACCUGAGAGGGUGAUCGGCCACACUGGAACUGAGACACGGUCCAGACUCCUACGGGAGGCAGCAGUAGGGAAUCUUCCGCAAUGGGCGAAAGCCUGACGGAGCAACGCCGCGUGAGUGAUGAAGGUCUUCGGAUCGUAAAACUCUGUUAUUAGGGAAGAACAUAUGUGUAAGUAACUGUGCACAUCUUGACGGUACCUAAUCAGAAAGCCACGGCUAACUACGU